rnacentral:rRNA from 1 species
CAGUCGCCGCGGUAAUACGAAGGGUGCAAGCGUUACUCGGAAUUACUGGGCGUAAAGCGUGCGUAGGUGGUGGUUUAAGUCCGUUGUGAAAGCCCUGGGCUCAACCUGGGAAUUGCAGUGGAUACUGGCUCGCUAGAGUGUGUCAGAGGAUGGUGGAAUUCCCGGUGUAGCGGUGAAAUGCGUAGAGAUCGGGAGGAACAUCAGUGGCGAAGGCGGCCAUCUGGGACAACACUGACGCUGAGGCACGAAAGCGUGGGGAGCAAACAGGAUUAGAGACCCCCGUAGUCCCUGUCUCUUAUAC